UACGGAGGGUGCGAGCGUUGUCCGGAAUCAUUGGGCGUAAAGGGCGCGUAGGUGGCUUCUUAAGCGUGCGGUGAAAGCCUGGGGCUCAACCCCGGGUCGGCCGUGCGAACUGGGGGGCUGGAGCACUGUAGAGGCGGGUGGAAUUCCGGGUGUAGCGGUGGAAUGCGUAGAGAUCCGGAAGAACACCAGUGGCGAAGGCGGCCCGCUGGGCAGUGGCUGACGCUGAGGAGCGAAAGCGUGGGGAGCGAACAGG
rnacentral:rRNA from 1 species